AUUAAUGAGGAAUCUGAAACCACAAUCAAGUGAGACUGAACGACAGGGAUGUACAUUUCCCGCAGUGACUGAGUGAAGAAUGGAGUUCUUCAAAGCAUAUGUAACGAUGUCCUGAGAGCUGUCAUAUUGGUGUAUGGUGAUGCCAAGAUGAUGAAAUGUUUCUCUUUCUAUAUGAAGCAAGAAUUUCAUCUCGCCCUUUCUUGUAAAUGCACAGCUUCUUGUGCUUACAAGAAGGGACAACAACACAUACGUGAAAUAGUGAAAGUAACACAUACGUAAAAUA